UACGUAGGCAGCAAGCGUUGUUCGGAGUUACUGGGCGUAAAGGGUGCGUAGGCGGCUUUUUAAGUUUGGUGUGAAAUCUCCCAGCUCAACUGGGAGGGUGCGCCGAAUACUGAGAGGCUAGAGUGUGGGAGAGGAAAGUGGAAUUCCUGGUGUAGCGGUGAAAUGCGUAGAUAUCAGGAGGAACACCGGUGGUGUAAACGGCUUUCUGGACCAUAACUGACGCUGAGGCACGAAAGCGUGGGUAGCAAACAGG
rnacentral:rRNA from 1 species